rnacentral:rRNA from 1 species
UACGACUACAUAUCAGGCAUAUCAAUAAGCGGAGGAAAAGAAACUAACUAGGAUUCCCUUAGUAACGGCGAGUGAAGCGGGAAGAGCUCAAAUUUGAAAUCUUCAAGGUUCUACCUUGACGAAUUGUAGUUUAAAGAAGUGUUUUCUGUUGGAGUUUUGGUAAAAGUUCUUUGGAAUAGGACAUCAUAGAGGGUGAGAAUCCCGUAUUUGACCAUUUACUUCCAGCUGUGUGAUACACUUUCAAAGAGUCGGAUUGUUUGGGAAUGCAGUCCAAAAUGGGUGGUAAAUUUCAUCUAAAGCUAAAUAUUGGCGAGAGACCGAUAGCGAACAAGUACCGUGAGGGAAAGAUGAAAAGAACUUUGAAAAGAGAGUUAAACAGUACGUGAAAUUGUCAAAAGGGAAGCGUUUGACACCAGUGUUGUUUUCUCGAAAAUCAAUUAAAAAUGACUGGAUUUUGUGUUGUAUUGACCUUAUAAGCUUUCUGCACUUUUUUCUAUGUCUUUUUUAAUGCACUUUUCGUUUAACAAGUCAACAUCAAUUUCUUUUGUUGUAAAAGAGGUCAUUGGAAGGUGGCUUUCUUUUCGGAGAAAGUGUUUAUAGCCUUUGACUCCUGCAAUCGGAGAGACUGAGGUCUGCAGCGUAGAUCCUUCGGGGUUAGAUGCAUUUGUGCUAAGUUAUAGCCUUUCAUAGACAACUUGUUGACUAUGAUCAGUCAUGUAGCUUACUCGCUUAUGUCAUUUUACCUACGCUUAGGAUGUUGACGCGCGUGUGUGCGUG